CCAGAACAAAAAAAACAAAAAAAUGCUAGCUAACUACUUACUUGUUCCGGUGGUACUUGGCUGUCCUCUGAUGGCUGUUCAUCUGGUCGGGUGCAAUCAAUGAAUCACUCAAUCACCAUGAUGAAGGCUUUACCAGAUAUGUUCCCAUCACCUGUGGUUCCACCGAAGAAUUUGGGACAUGCAAGUGAGGCAUCUUCCUUGAGUCUGCAGAAGACCCCAACACAUUUCUUCAGGCGAGCCCACUCUUCAGCCCUGUCGUGAUUGUCUGCAAAACCAACUGCGUAGUGGCCAUUGGAACCAUGCCUGUGGUGACCUUCCCAAAAGAGGACAUCUAUGCCAGCGUGACGUACCUCAUGGCGUGUUAUUACGCCUUUCACCUCACAUAUAAUAUAUGCCAUUUAGCAGACGCUUUUAUCCAAAGCGACUUACAGUCAUGUGUGCAUACAUUCUACGUAUGGGUGGUCCCGGGGAUCGAACCCACUACCCUGGCAUUACAAGCGCCAUGCUCUACCAACUGAGCUACAGAAGGACCACAUAUCCCAAGUGCAUUGCGACACUCCUCUCUGUGCUGCAGACAGAAGUCCAUCCACAACCGGGACAUGACUUCUGCAUAUAAAAAGGCUAUGGCCGAGUGGAAAUGUUCAUUACUAACUAGGGUUGCACAAUACAAUUAUUUUAUUUCCAGGCCCCAAUAACAGAACUGGGUGUAUUGGCCCAUCCGAGACCCAAUCCGAUAACCUUUAUUAAAUAGGCAGGGCGUUUGUUGUUUAUUAUAAGAAGGUUUAAAGCACUGUUACGUUUGUUAUCUUCCCAUUGGUCUUACGUUUUCACCUUGACCACCAAUGGCCUUUGAUGUUGUUGUUUUUGCAUCCUUUGUUCUGCUCCUAUCAGCCUCUGGAUAUACCGAGUCCUCAAUUAAGAAGUGAAAAUAAAUUAGAUUAAUUCUUUCUUUAAGCAAGCCAAUAUCAUUUCUAGUAGUAGUACGAGUACAUUUAUCUCAGUCAGAUUACUUAUUUUAAGCACAAUAUGCUAUUUUUAUGUAAAUUCCUGGGCAUAUUGACUUAUUUCAAGACGAGUGCAAUAGCAUUGGAUUCUAAAUUUAAGCACAUUUUCCUACAUAUUGAGAAAAUAAUUCUCAAAUAUUUUCUUUAUAUCUAAACAAAUGUACUUGGUUUUAGUGUAGCUGUACUGGUUUUAAGCUAUAUUUACUCAGCACACAGCCUUAUUUCAAAAUGAUGGCACUGGCAUUUGCUACAUUUAAGCACAUUUUCCUAUACAUUGAGAAAAUAAUUAUUAAAUAUUUUCUUUAUAUCUAGACAAAUGUACUUGGUUUUAGUGUAGCUGUACUGGUUUUAAGAUAUAUUUACUCAGCAUACAGCCUUAUUUCAAGAUGAUGGCACUGGCAUUUGCUACAUGUAAGCACAUUUUCCUAUAUAUUGAGAAAAAUAUUCUUAAAUAUUUUCUUUGUAUCCAGACAAAUAGCUUGUUUUUAGUCUGAACGCACUAGGUUAAAGAUAUCUGUAUGUUCUUUGAGACUAGAUAUUUUUACUUGUUUAACAAAUCUUGGCAAGUUAAAUUGUCCUGUUUUGCUUAUUUUAAGUAAUAUUUCCCUAAUUUUAUUGCUUUUUUUUCUUGUUUUGGGGAGCUGACUUUUUGCAGUGUAAAAUGUCAUUUGGAACGUGAAAAAUACUAUUGUUUAGGAUAUUGUAAACAUACUGUACUUUAAUAAUAGGCUACAUUGUUGUAUGGGUGAAAUGA